ensembl:lncRNA
GCCCAAAACUGAACACUGCACUCGAGGUGAGGCCUCGCCAGUGCCGAGUCCAGGGGCAGGAUGACUUCCCUAGUCCUGCUCACCACACCAUUCCUGAGCCAGGAAUUGUGGUUAUGCCAUUGGCCUUCUUGGCCACCUGGGCACACUGCUGGCUCAUCUUCAGCCACCUGUCCGUCAGCACACCAAGGUCCCUUUCAGGGAUCAGGCAGCUUUCCAGCCACUCCUCCCCAAGGAGGACUGGGGGGACGCCUGGGCUUGUUGUGACCAAGAUGCAGGACCCGACACUCGGCCCCAUUGAAACUCAUCCAGUCAACCUGGAAGAGUGAAGAGAGAACAAAAACCAAGCAGGCAAAGAGCAGAGCUGUCCACAGGGGGCAGGGCUUGGGGCAGGGCCUGUGCCGGAGGGUGGUCCAGCACAGUGGUGGCCUCGGGGCCCAGGCUGGAGGGGGCCUGGCACAGUUGAGGCCUGGUGUGGGCCCAGAAGGAAGGGGGCCCAGGCACAGGUAGAGCCUCGGGGCCCAGGCUGGAGGAGAACCAGGCUCAGUUGGGGCUGUGUUGGGGCCCAGGAUGGAGGAGGACCGGGUGCAGUUCGGGCUACACUGGAGGGGCCCGAGCUGGAGUCGGGCCUAGAACAGUUGAGGCCUGCUCUUUUCCCAGAUCAAAGGGAUCCCCGGCACAGCCAGGGCCUUGGGGCCCAGGAUGGAGGAGGACCAGGCACAGUGGGGGCUGCUUUGGGGCCCAGGAUGGAGGAGGACCAGGCACAGUUGGGGCUGCUUUGGGGCCCGGGCUGGUGGGAGGCCCGGCACAGCCAGAGCCUUGUGGCUGCACUCCCUCUGUACAGUUCAACCUUGAUCCCUAACCUAAAAUGGUAACUGUAGUGAAAGGCAGUAGCUGAUCCAGCUGCUUUCCUGUGUUUUAAUUUUCCUAAGAAUGGGGAAGGACUCAAGCUAGUAAACAAAGACCCCUUUCUGAAGAACAGGACUCAGAAAGUAUUAGCACAGAGCAGAUCUCCCCUUAGUAGGAGAGAAGUAGAGAUUCUUCCCCUUAGACAGGCAGCCCUUAAAUGAGGGUGGGGAGGGCUGGAGCCAGGCUCCACCCCUUUUUGCCCAGGUGAAAUGCUUGCAGGUGUGCUCCACAGCAGAACGUGUUUUAAUGAAGCCUGGGAAAGCCUGUGACAUCAAAGAAUCCUUUCUUCCUUCUUUCUCGUUUGUGUUUGUUGCCUGCAGUUCCAAGCAG